rnacentral:rRNA from 1 species
ACUCAAAUGAAUUGACGGGGACCCGCACAAGCGGUGGAGUAUGUGGCUCAAUUCGAUGCAACGCGAAGAACCUUACCCGGGCUUGACAUGCAUCUAUAAGCGCGUGAAAGCGCGUGACCCUUACGGGGAUUUGCACAGGUGCUGCAUGGCCGUCGUCAGCUCGUGUCGUGAGAUGUUGGGUUAAGUCCCGCAACGAGCGCAACCCCUGUGUCCAGUUGCCAGCGCGUGAUGGCGGGGACUCUGGACAGACCGCCCAGAUCAACUGGGAGGAAGGUGGGGACGACGUCAGGUCAGUAUGGCCCUUACGCCCGGGGCUGCACACGUACUACAAUGCCCAGCACAGUGAGAACCGAUGCCGCGAGGCGGAGGAAAUCUGCAAAACUGGGCCCAGUUCGGAUUGGAGGCUGCAACUCGCCUCCAUGAAGCCGGAAUCGCUAGUAAUGGCGCAUCAGCAACGGCGCCGUGAAUACGUUCCCGGGUCUUGCACACACCGCCCGU